rnacentral:rRNA from 1 species
GUAGAGUAGUUUGAUCCGUGCUCGAGGAUGAACGCUGGCGGCGUGCUUUAACACAUGCAAGUCGAACGGAGUUAUCAUUUUUUGAAGCGAUUAGCUUGCUAAGAGUGGAAAUGUUGGUAACUUAGUGGCGGACGGGUGAGUAACGCGUGGAGAACCUGCCUUACACAGGGGGAUAACACUUAGAAAUAGGUGCUAAUACCGCAUAAGCGCACAGGACCGCAUGGUCCGGUGUGAAAAACUGAGGUGGUGUAAGAUGGCUCCGCGUCUGAUUAGCUUGUUGGUAGGGUAACGGCCUACCAAGGCGACGAUCAGUAGCCGGCCUGAGAGGGUGAACGGCCACAUUGGGACUGAGACACGGCCCAAACUCCUACGGGAGGCAGCAGUGGGGAAUAUUGGACAAUGGGGGAAACCCUGAUCCAGCGACGCCGCGUGAGUGAAGAAGUAUUUCGGUAUGUAAAGCUCUAUCAGCAGGGAAGAAAAUGACGGUACCUGACUAAGAAGCCCCGGCCAACUACGUG